UUUACCAGGGGUUCUGGCACCAACUUUACCCAGCAAGCUGAGCGCAGCGCUGUUUGUGGUUAUACGCUAAGUGAUUCCGCAACUAUGCUAUCUUUAGAGUCUUGUCUCAUCCCACACAAAGCUCUUUUCAGACCCAGUUUGACAUUCUGAUAUUGUACCGUGGCUCUGCAGGGUCAGAGAGUAUAAUGCGGCAAUUCAGUAUCUGUCUUACAGCAGAAAGGGGGUUCAGUGUUGAGUUAAAGGACAGGCUGAUGACAAGGAGGGAGAAGCAACGUUCAGUGGAUUCUGCCACUUUGCUCUGGCGUGGGAAACUUGCAUUAAACAAAACUUUCUUCCAAGCCGACUGUCCCACCCUAGACAAUUUGAAGAGGUGAGAAUACCUAUGUUAGCUGCAUUUUACUAAUCCCAAAAUUGUGAUUAUUUGCUUGGGGAAGAUUGAGAGGAAGUUUGUCUUUGCACCAUUGGUGGAGAUCUUGUUUGCUAAGCAAUUUAGUAUCACCGAGGAGGUGGAGUCAUAUCGUGGAGAAGUGUUUGCCGGAUAUCAGGACAUUGGGCGCUGGUUUCAUUCUGCUACUCACCAGUUGCGUGCUCCUGGCUAAGGGAUCUCUUCAGGCUAAAUCCCCUCAUCUGGAAAGUGGUUGGCAUAAUGACUUCUGGAGUCUCUUCCAGGCUGAGAAUUCUAUAAUCUGCCUUCAGAAGAUGAGUCAUUUUUGAGAUACUUAGAACAUAUAGAUGUCUAACCAAUUAAUCUUGUAUCUGCGUUUAAAUAGGCUUUGAAAUAUUAUGUGAGCAGUUGAAAUAUAUCCUUUACUAUUUAUGAAUCUAUUUAUAUCUUUUCAUUCAUCUGCCCACUCACAUACACACACGCGUUAGGUGAUGAAGUACGUACAUUUGGCCAUUCUUCAGCAGUGGUGCCAAAAGUGUUUCAGAAAGAAUUUGAUAUUUGAUAUAUGAAAAACCUGAUCAAAAUGAUCAUCCUGUGAAAAAUUAGCAUUAUUAGAUUUCCUUACACUUAUUUUAGGGGUUAAUAUUGUAUAUAUUAGAGGUAGUUGUCCUGUAACCUUUCAGUUUUUAGGGCUUCUACAGGUCUUAAUUUGGAGAGUAUACCUCUGUCUUGAGUUCUGUCUGUCUCUAGAUCUCUGGCUACAGCCCCCAUCCCCCGUUCAUUCAACACUUACCUGCCAGACACCUACUGAGCACUGUCGGCACACUGAGUCCUCAGAUCAAUUUUAGGAGAUAAUGUGAUAGAUUUGGGGACUGCUGUCGCCCCCUCAGAAUCCGCCCUGCCCUUUUCCUUUAUGUUUGGUCCUGACUCUUGGAUCCAUCCCUCUGGCCAAAGUGACUGGUGGCAUGUGAACAAAUACGGUCCCAUGUGAGGAAAGUCAGGAUUUUUGUUAGAUGCCUAGGCAAGAGACACCUCCAUUUAUUGAAUAUAAAUGAGAAAACAUGAAAUUCCAGAAGCUUCUGGCAGUCAUCUUGUCAUCACAGUGCAGUCAGCCUUGGAAUGAUGAGCAUGCUCCAAAGAACAGAGCAGACAAUGGCAAGCAGCUGGGCAUUCUGGGAAAUUGUUAAGCCCCUGAAGCCUUCCUACCACUGGACUUUUCAGUCAUAUAAGGCAUUGUUUCCUCAUUUAUUUGGGUUUUGUUAUUUAUCACCAAAGUCACCUUAACUGACACAGGCAAACAGUCUCUCCAUUUUACUGAAGAAGAAGCUAAAGCUCAGAAGAGUUGCGAAAGACUAGAUACACCGAUCCUUUGAACACGCUCAAGGCAGAGAGCGAAUGGAGCAGUCACUGGUGGGACGUACCUCAGAGGAGAACCUCGAACUCCUGCAGGAGGUGCCAGGCAUCUGUUCUUCCUGAGGGCUCCUGUCAACUUGCCCUCCUCUUUCUCAGCUGCCCACAGCGUGAUCUAUUGAUGCGCAGUUCUCGAGUCUGUUCUGAGAAGGUCAGGAAGAGCAGCGAUAGCAUCGGCUGCCCCACGGACGAGGAAGGCACUGUGGCAGACAGUGAGCGGCCUCCACGCGAGACCCCGACCCUGCGCCUUCUCAUGCACAGACUGCUUUCCUGUCUUUCUUCUGUCUGGUUUAACCUCCCACUCCCACAGAGGGCUUCUUUCAGGAAGGUUGGUGUCCUUUACUGCCAUCUAGUUUCAGUAAGGGGCCAUCCUCUUCCCCCAGACAGAUUUUAACAACUUCACAUCUCAGAGCGGAGGGAUUGGAAUUUGUUUUUCUCUUUCAGAAGGUCUCUUUAUUUCUACAUAAAUUCUUGGCUGCAGUGGCGCGGCUCAGCUAAGCUUCCCCCAGCAGCGUUCAUGCUCCAAGUUGGAUGGACAAUUCCUGUCUUACCAACGCCGGGCAGCAGUAAGUGAACAAACCGUUCUCUAGUACGAACACUCGGCGGGACAGUUUCCUGUAACACGCACUACUAGUCUCAUGUAAAAGAGCUAAAUUCUCUUUUUAUUUAAGGAGGUUAAUAAAUGAGAUCUAAAAUUGAAAUACCAAGAAAUAUUAGUAUGAUCACAUUAGUUAGAAAUAUGGAGGUAACUCAUAAAUAAUAGCCCAAAGAGCUGAAAAUGUUUGCUUCUGAAGAGUUAUUUUUAAAUGUCUGUUGAAUUAUUUUAGUUUUUAAACAUAACUUUAUAGCUGAAGAAAAUGAACUUUC